rnacentral:tRNA from 1 species
GCCUCUAGACGAUAGGGAACAUCGCCCUUUCACGGCGGUAACCGGGGUUCGAAUCCCCGUAGGGACGCCA